rnacentral:rRNA from 1 species
CCUACGGGGGGCAGCAGUAGGGAAUAUUGCACAAUGGGGGAAACCCUGAAGCAGCAACGCCGCGUGAAGGAUGAAGGUUUUCGGAUUGUAAAGCCCUAUUAUUAGGGAAGAAAAUGACGGUAUCUAACGAAUAAGCACCGGCUAACUCCGUGCCAGCAGCCGCGGUAAUACGGAGGGUGCAAGCGUUACUCGGAAUCACUGGGCGUAAAGAGCGCGUAGGCGGGAUAGCAAGUCAGAUGUGAAAUCCUAUGGCUUAACCAUAGAACUGCAUUGGAAACUGUUAUUCUGGAGUAUGGGAGAGGUAGGUGGAAUUCUUGGUGUAGCGGUAAAAUGCGUAGAGAUCAAGAGGAAUACU